UAGGGAAUCUUCCACAAUGGACGCAAGUCUGAUGGAGCAACGUCGCGUGAGUGAAGAAGGUUUUCGGACCGUAAAGCUCUGUUGUUGGUGAAGAAGGAUAGAGGUAGUAACUGGCCUUUAUUUGACGGUAAUCAACCAGAAAGUCACGGCUAACUACGUGCCAGCAGCCGCGGUAAUACGUAGGUGGCAAGCGUUGUCCGGAUUUAUUGGGCGUAAAGCGAGCGCAGGCGGAAGAAUAAGUCUGAUGUGAAAGCCCUCGGCUUAACCGAGGAAUUGCAUCGGAAACUGUUUUUCUUGAGUGCAGAAGAGGAGAGUAGAACUCCAUGUGUAGCGGUGGAAUGCGUAGAUAUAUGGAAGAAUACCAGUGGCGAAGGCGGCUCUCUGGUCUGCAACUGACGCUGAGGCUCGAAAGCAUGGGUAGCGAACAGGAUUAGAUACCCUGGUAGUCCAUGCCGUAAACGAUGAGUGCUAAGUGUUGGGAGGCUUCCGCCUCUCAGUGCUGCAGCUAACGCAUUAAGCACUCCGCCUGGGGGAGUACGACCGCAAGGUUGAAAC
rnacentral:rRNA from 1 species